rnacentral:rRNA from 1 species
AUACGGAGGAUCCGAGCGUUAUCCGGAUUUAUUGGGUUUAAAGGGUGCGUAGGCUGUGCGUUAAGUCAGGGGUGAAAUGCCGUCGCUCAACGACGGAGCUGCCCUUGAUACUGGCGUGCUGGAGUACGGAUGCCGUUGGAGGAAUGAGUGGUGUAGCGGUGAAGUGCUUAGAUAUCACUCAGAACACCGAUUGCGAAGGCAUCUGACGAAUCCGUCACUGACGCUGAGGCACGAAAGCGUGGGGAUAGAACAGGAUUAGAUACCCUGGUAUUCCACGCCGUAAACGAUGAUGACUAACCGUCGGCGAUAGACAGCCGGUGGCCAAGCGAAAGCGAUAAGUCAUCCACCUGGGGAGUACGUCGGCAACGAUGAAACUCAAAUGAAUUGGCGGGG